UGCAGAUGUCUUGCAGUGCCUAAUAUUUUGGCGAGAAAUACUGUUGUUUACCUCGUACGAGGAAGUUUUGAAGCGUUUGCUGACCUUACUAGGAAAAUCCUGGUUCAAUAUACGGCAUAUUAAACGAAUUGUAUUAGAAACAAACGAAUUGUGCACGAAAAGCCAAGGGCAUUUCGGCACGUUCUUGCUCGACACCAAUGGGUUGUUGUGGGAACAAAACCGAGACCACAAAUGACAUUAAUAUGGGAGAAAGCGACCAGAAAGACAAUGGGAAUUAUGGUGAGUAAA